CUAACUACGUGCCAGCAGCCGCGGUAAUACGUAGGUGGCGAGCGUUAUCCGGAAUGAUUGGGCGUAAAGGGUGCGUAGGUGGCAGAACAAGUCUGGAGUAAAAGGUAUGGGCUCAACCCGUACUGGCUCUGGAAACUGUUCAGCUAGAGAACAGAAGAGGACGGCGGAACUCCAUGUGUAGCGGUAAAAUGCGUAGAUAUAUGGAAGAACACCGGUGGCGAAGGCGGCCGUCUGGUCUGGAUUCUGACACUGAAGCACGAAAGCGUGGGGAGCAAAUAGGAUUAGAUACCCUAGUAGUCCACGCCGUAAACGAUGAGAACUAGGUGUUGGGGGAAUAACUCAGUGCCGCAGUUAACGCAAUAAGUUCUCCGCCUGGGGAGUAUGCACGCAAGUGUGAAACUCAAAGGAAUUGACGGGGGCCCGCACAAGCGGUGGAGUAUGUGGUUUAAUUCGAAGCAACGCGAAGAACCUUACCAGGCCUUGACAUCCCUUGCAGAGGUAUAGAGAUAUAUCCGAGGUUAUCAAGGAGACAGGUGGUGCAUGGUUGUCGUCAGCUCGUGUCGUGAGAUGUUGGGUUAAGUCCCGCAACGAGCGCAACCCUUGUGAUAUGUUACUAACAUUGAGUUGAGGACUCAUAUCAGACUGCCGGUGAUAAACCGGAGGAAGGUGGGGAUGACGUCAAAUCAUCAUGCCCCUUAUGGCCUGGGCUACACACGUACUACAAUGGCGUCUACAAAGAGCGGCAAGCCUGUGAAGGCAAGCGAAUCUCAUAAAGGACGUCUCAGUUCGGAUUGAAGUCUGCAACCCGACUUCAUGAAGCUGGAAUCGCUAGUAAUCGCGAAUCAGCAUGUCGCGGUGAAUACGUUCUCGGGCCUUGUACACACCGCCCGUCAAACCAUGGGAGUUGGUAAUGCCCGAAGCCGGUGGCAUAACCCUUCGGGGAGUGAGCCGUCGAAGGCAGGACCGAUGACUGGGGUUAAGUCGUAACAAGGUAUCCCUACGGGAACGUGGGGAUG
rnacentral:rRNA from 1 species